UACAGGGGGUGCAAGCGUUGUUCGGAAUUACUGGGCGUAAAGGGCUCGUAGGUGGCCAACUAAGUCAGACGUGAAAUCCCUCGGCUUAACCGGGGAACUGCGUCUGAUACUGGAUGGCUUGAGUUCGGGAGAGGGAUGCGGAAUUCCAGGUGUAGCGGUGAAAUGCGUAGAUAUCUGGAGGAACACCGGUGGCGAAGGCGGCAUCCUGGACCGACACUGACGCUGAGGAGCGAAAGCCAGGGGAGCAAACGGG
rnacentral:rRNA from 1 species